AGCAGCCGCGGUAAUUCCAGCUCCAAUAGCGUAUAUUAAAGUUGCUGCAGUUAAAAAGCUCGUAGUUGAAUUUCGGGAUCAAUAUGUUGGUCGUGCCUCGGUACGUACUAGCUUAUUGGUUUCUCCCUUCUGACGAACCAUGAUGUCAUUUAUUUGGUGUUAUGGGAAAUCAGGACUGUUACUUUGAAAAAAUUAGAGUGUUUAAAGCAGGCUCACGCUUGAAUACAUUAGCAUGGAAUAAUGAAAUAGGACGUUUGAUUCUAUUUUGUUGGUUUCUAGGAUCGACGUAAUGAUUAAUAGGGAUAGUUGGGGGCAUUAGUAUUCAAUUGUCAGAGGUGAAAUUCUUGGAUUUAUUGAAGACUAACUACUGCGAAAGCAUUUGCCAAGGAUGUUUUCAUUAACCAAGAACGAAAGUUAGGGGAUCGAAGACGAUCAGAUACCGUCGUAGUCUUAACCAUAAACUAUGCCGACUAGGGAUCGGAUGAUGUUAAUUUUUUCAAUGACUCAUUCGGCGCCUUAC
rnacentral:misc_RNA from 1 species